rnacentral:rRNA from 1 species
UACGUAGGGACCAAGCGUUGUUCGGAUUUACUGGGCGUAAAGGGCGCGUAGGCGGCUUAACAAGUCACUUGUGAAAUCUCCGGGCUUAACUCGGAAUGGCCAAGUGAAACUGUCAAGCUAGAGUGCAGAAGGGGCAAUCGGAAUUCUUGGUGUAGCGGUGAAAUGCGUAGAUAUCAAGAGGAACACCUGAGGUGAAGACGGGUUGCUGGGCUGACACUGACGCUGAGGCGCGAAAGCCAGGGGAGCAAACGGG